CCUACGGGUGGCUGCAGUGGGGAAUAUUGGACAAUGGGGGAAACCCUGAUCCAGCAAUGCCGCGUGUGUGAAGAAGGCCUGCGGGUUGUAAAGCACUUUCGGUUGGGAAGAAAAGUUUGGCGCCAAUACCGCCGAACCUUGACGUUACUGACAGAAGAAGCACCGGCUCACUCUGUGCCAGCAGCCGCGGUAAUACAGAGGGUGCAAGCGUUAAUCGGAAUCACUGGGCGUGGAGCGUGAGUAGGUGGGCGAAAGCCCCGGGCUUAAGCUGGGAACAGAAUUCGAUACUACAUGGCUAGAGUAUGGUAGAGGGAAGUGGAAUUUCCGGUGUAGCGGUGAAAUGCGUAGAUAUCGGAAGGAACACCAAUGGCGAAGGCAGCUUCCUGGACUAAUACUGACACUGAGGCACGAAAGCGUGGGUAGCAAACAGGAUUAGAUACCCUUGUAGUC
rnacentral:rRNA from 1 species